rnacentral:rRNA from 1 species
CCUACGGGGGGCUGCAGUGGGGAAUAUUGGACAAUGGGCGAAAGCCUGAUCCAGCCAUGCCGCGUGUGUGAAGAAGGCCUUCGGGUUGUAAAGCACUUUCAGUGGGGAAGAAAGCCUUGGGGCUAAUACCCUCGAGGAAGGACAUCACCCACAGAAGAAGCACCGGCUAACUCCGUGCCAGCAGCCGCGGUAAUACGGAGGGUGCGAGCGUUAAUCGGAAUUACUGGGCGUAAAGCGCGCGUAGGCGGUCUGAUAAGCCGGUUGUGAAAGCCCCGGGCUCAACCUGGGAACGGCAUCCGGAACUGUCGGGCUAGAGUGCAGGAGAGGAAGGUAGAAUUCCCGGUGUAGCGGUGAAAUGCGUAGAGAUCGGGAGGAAUACCAGUGGCGAAGGCGGUCUUCUGGACUGACACUGACGCUGAGGUGCGAAAGCGUGGGUAGCAAACAGGAUUAGAUACCCGGGUAGUC